UUAAUGAAGCUCAAGCAUCUCACAAACAAGGGGGGUGGAUCACAUUCCCUUUUAUCGCAGGUUCCCACUCUCUUUCUCUAAAUUUUUCUUUUUAUCCCCCUAAAGAUCAAUAAUCUCUAAAAAGUAGUUGUAUGCAUGGAUGCAUAUACGCAGUGUUGGUUUUUGUGGAAAAGUAUUUAAUUAUAUGGAGAGUAAGUAAUAGGAGGCUAUAGUAGACAAGAGAAAAGAGUCUUAAUCAUAUAAAAUAAUAUAACCCUCAUUGGAUUUCAAUUAUCCCCAUGAUUACAUGUGAAGGAGAAGAACUCCUUUUAUAGCCUUCAAUUGUGAGAGUUUUGGAUCUAAAUUUUUACAACUUACAAUUAAUAGCUUUAGAAGUUUCUUAUUCAAUUUGUAACUCGAUCUAAAAUUGCUAACUCCACAUGUGAAUUUACUUGUUAAGAAAGUGCAUUAACUUUCAACACGCAGGGAGUGUGUUUGGGCUUGGCUUGGCCAUAAGUGGAGCCAUGAGUAAUUUCAUCGUGUAUUUGAUAAAGGAGUACAACGUGAAGAGCAUCGACGCCGCGCAAAUCUCAAACAUCGUCAACGGUUGCACAAGCGUCUCACCCGUCAUCGGUGCGAUCAUCGCCGACGCUUAUUUCGGGUGUUACCCAGUUUUUGCCUUCGCCAUUGUUAUCAACUCGGUGGUAAGCAAUUCGAGCAAUAAACUACUGAUUUAGUUUUUUUUUUUUUUUUUCUUUUUCACUUGCUCUUUUUAUUUUUUGGUGUGUGUGUAAGUGGAUUUAAUCAUCUAUGCAUCUUUUCUUUUUAUUAAUUUUGCAUCAAGAAAAAAAUAUGGAGUUUUGAAAGUUAUUAUUAUAUGUUUUUGUUUCUCUCUUAUCAGAAAAGUACUUCAAUUACUUACUAUUAGCUUACUUUUUGAGAGAGAGAUAAAUAGGAAGCUAUCCUCUUCAUUCUUUUUUAAAAAAUAAACCCAGCUAAAUAUGUGAAAUAAUUAUGUUUGAAACAUGAUAGCCUAGUUAUUAAUUAACUAAAUAAAUUCUUAUCCAAAUACAUUAGGUACAGUUGAUACUUAUUAGAUUACUUAUUAGCCAUGUAAAAUAAUUGUAUAUAUAAUUGGGUUCGCUAAAAAGAUUAUAAAUUUUUCAUUCUCCCCCACACUUGAUCUUGCUACUAUACCUAAACCAUUAUUAGGGCAUAUAUAUCUUAUUGUAAGAAUAUUAGAGACUGUCAAAAGCACUAAUUUUCUAUAAAAUUUAAAAAUAAGCCUUACCAAAUAGACGAAAAAUUGGAAAACAGAUUUUCCAUUAAAAAAAUUUUUCUUGAAAUUUUUUUUAUAUAUUUUCUUAAGAAACCAAAUAGUCUUAUAUUGAUUAGAAAUAAGAAUCCUAAUUUGUAUAAAAUAUGUAAGAAUAUUUUCACCUAUAAACUUAAGUGAUUAUUGGACGUUGUUCGCGCGAGCAUAGAAUGAUAUUCCUAAUGAGUAGAAUCAAUUAAAGGUGUGACAAUGACUUCAUAGACAAUUUGGUGACAAUAUAUAUAUAUAUAUAUAUAUAUAUAUAUAUAUAUAUAGAGAGAGAGAGAGAGAGAGAGAGAGAGAGAGAGAGAGAGAGAGAGAGAGAGUGUGGAGAAAUUAUUGCUUGGACUAUGAUCUACAUAUAUGUAGUACGAAGUUUCCAGAAACUCAAAUUUACAGAAUUUUAAAGUUAAAUGUAUACAAUUAGAUAAAAGGUACAACACAAAAGCUUCUAUCCUAAAAGUUAUACUCUUUUUACUUUCUAACUCAUAUUAGAGUUUUGAAUUAAUUUCAUACAGGUCUCUACUAGCAUAGUAAAUGACAAAUAUAUUUCUACAAAGUUCAACUUUUAUAUAUUGUCCAUACAAAAGUCUCGAUAUUUUCAAAUAUAUCCUUACCGUUAGAAUCCGUUAGAAAAAAUUAAUUAACCAUAGAUUAAAUACUUAACACUGGUUAGUUUUUGACAUUUUUCCUCUUUUUAUANCGAAAUUACAUGAAAAUUUAAUAAAAAAUUCUACUUAACAUCAGUAGUAAGAUCAAUACUUCCGAUUUAAAAUUUGAAUCCUUUAUUACUGUUUUUUAUGAGAUUUUCAUUUUCAGCCGUUCAUUUUGAGCCUACUCGUUCACUAGACAAACGAAAUCAAAAAAUUAUGAAAUUUGGUUUCUAGAUAGUUCUAAUAGCGUAGAUCAAGUUUAACGGAACCGAUCGCCGAAUCGAAUAUCCCAUCAUCGAAAACAACUUACAAGUACGGGGCCUCCCGUACUUUCGAAAGCAUAGAAGCCUAGCUCUAUAUAUCUAUUCAUUGCACUUUAUGAUCCCUUUAUCUUAUGAGGUGAUCUUCUGUAUAGCAUUUGUUUACGUAUAUUACAUUAUUUUUAUUACAACUCAAUUAAUUUUUUUAUUUUUCAGAAAAAAAUUAAAAAUAUUUUUGUUUCAAAAAUCAUAGUAGAAUGGAUGGAUCUCAAUAAAACAAUAUGACCGACUGGGAAUAUAGAUAAGAUGGUUUGGCCGUCACAUUUUAUGUUAUGUAAGUACUACAUACUCUUGUCCUAAGCAUAUGCUAGCAAUUGAACUUUGAUCAAAAUUAAAACCUAUGGCUUCUUUCAAUUCAACAUGAUCACAAUAUUGCAGUCCCUAGUCUUGUUCACCGUAACUGCGGCCGUCCCGUCGCUACGUCCUAUGCCAUGCUCACUCAGCUCAGACUCAUGCAAACCUGCAUCGGCGGGCCAGUUGGCGGUCCUGUACGCCGCGGUGGCCCUGCUGGCCGUCGGGGCCGGGGGAACCCGGUUCAACAGUGCCACGGUUGGCGCGAACCAGUUCGACAAGGCCCAGGACCAGGAGGUUUUCUUCAACUGGUUCUUCAUUCUGCUCUACGCCGCGUCGAUCAUCGGCGCCACGGCCAUCGUCUACAUUCAAGAUAGAGUAAGCUGGGCCUUGGGCUUUGGCCUGUCCGCCGGGAUCGCGGCAAUCGGUGCGGUUGUUCUGUUCCUUGGGUCAAGAUAUUAUAAAAGGCCCCCGGCCCAAGGGAGCCCAUUUAUGGGCCUAGCCCAAGUUGUUGUUGCUGCAGCAAGGAAGAGACACAUCACUGUGGUAGCACUGGGGACUGUGACUUUUUACUACGGGACUAGUAGUGAUCUGGUGGCGAAUGCAAAGAAGCAGGUUCCAAGUGAGAGCUUCAGGUAGAUAUGAAAAUUACAAUUGAAUUGAAUUGAAUUUUGCUCAAAUCAUCUUUAUUUCUGUUUUGACACUACUGCAGCUUUCUAAACCGAGCUGCGGUGAUCACCCGCGGCGACACGACCGCCGACGGCUCCGUCGCCAGGCCGUGGCGCCUCUGCACCGUGCAGCAAGUCGAAGACUUGAAGACCGUCGUCCGAAUACUGCCCCUCUGGACCACCUCCGCCUUCAUCAGCGUCUCGAUCGGCGUCCAGGGCAGCCUCACCAUCCUCCAGGCGCUCACCGUCGACCGCUCCCUCGGCCGAUUCACCGUCCCCGCGGGCUCCAUGCUCGUCUCCUCCCUCGCGGCCGUCAUCGUCUUCCUCGCCCUCCUCGACCGCCUGCUCCUCCCGGUCUGGCACCGCCUCACCCACCACACCCCGACGCCACUCCAGCGCAUCGGGGCCGGCCACGUGCUCAACGCAACCGCCAUGGUGGCCUCCGCUCUGGUCGAGCGGAAGCGCGCGGCGAUAGUGCGCAGGCACGGCGCGGAGAGUCAGGCCGGGUGGAUCGUGCCGAUGUCGGUGCUGUGGCUGGUGCUGCCGCUGGUGCUGGUCGGGUUCGGGGAGGCGCUGCACUUUCCGGGGCAGGUCGGAUUAUACUACCAGGAGUUUCCGCAGGCGCUGAAGAGCACGGCGACCGGGAUGGUGGCGCUGAUCGUCGCGCUCGGCUUCUACCUCAGCACGGCAGCCAUCGGCCUCGUCCGGCAGGCCACUGAUUGGCUGCCGGACAAUAUAAACGACUCCAGGCUUGAGAACGUGUAUUGGAUGUUGGCAGUGUUGGGCGCAGUCAACUUUGGGUACUACAUCCUAUGUGCCAAGCUCUACAAGUACCAGCGCGCUCCCAACAACACUGAAGAUACCAAAAAUUAGGGUUUUGUUUGAUGCUAUAUAUCAAACUGUUGUAGGGCAUGCGAGAACUCGUUUCUUUUUAUGCUUGCAUGCUUGGUUGCUUUACUACGACACUAAUGAACAAAAGUUUGAAGAGAGUUAGUAUAUAUAUUUAGAAUUAAUCUCCUAUACUUUUAAAAGUACCAAGUCAUUAGUGCUUAUAAGUUUUCGAUCCUUAGAUUAAGAAAUGUGCGAUUAGGAUAAUGUGAGCCCCCUAGGGUUGAGUGGGUGGUUGGUUGAAUAGUAUAAUCUAACGGGUAAAAAUGCUAAAAGACAUAGAUCUAACGGUAAAAAAUUUACAACCACCAAGUGCUUUGUGCUUUUAUAAGCAGUAUAGGUGAACUCAUAUAUUUACUUGCUUAAAAGUAAGUUUCAUAUCUAUUCU
rnacentral:lncRNA from 1 species